rnacentral:rRNA from 1 species
CAAAGAGAAGCAAGACCGUGAGGUGGAGGCAAAACUCAAAAACUUGUCUCAGUUCGGAUUGUAGGCUGAAACUCGCCUACAUGAAGCUGGAGUUGCUAGUAAUCGCGAAUCAGCAUGUCGCGGUGAAUACGUUCCCGGGCCUUGUACACACCGCCCGUCACACCAUGAGAGUUGGCAAUACCCAACGUACGUGAUCUAACCCGCAAGGGAGGAAGCGUCCUAAGGUAGGGUCAGCGAUUGGGGUGAAGUCGUAACAAGGUAGC